rnacentral:rRNA from 1 species
AUUGAACGCUGGCGGCAUGCCUUACACAUGCAAGUCGAACGGCAGCACGGGAGCAAUCCUGGUGGCGAGUGGCGAACGGGUGAGUAAUAUAUCGGAACGUGCCCAGUCGUGGGGGAUAACGUAGCGAAAGCUACGCUAAUACCGCAUACGAUCUAAGGAUGAAAGCGGGGGAUCGCAAGACCUCGCGCGAUUGGAGCGGCCGAUAUCAGAUUAGCUAGUUGGUGAGGUAAAGGCUCACCAAGGCGACGAUCUGUAGCUGGUCUGAGAGGACGACCAGCCACACUGGGACUGAGACACGGCCCAGACUCCUACGGGAGGCAGCAGUGGGGAAUUUGGACAAUGGGCGCAAGCCUGAUCCAGCAAUGCCGCGUGCAGGAUGAAGGCCUUCGGGUUGUAAACUGCUUUGUACGGAACGAAACGGUGAGCUCUAAUACAGUUUGCUAAUGACGGUACCGUAAGAAUAAGCACCGGCUAACUACGUG